UACAGAGGUCUCAAGCGUUGUUCGGAUUCAUUGGGCGUAAAGGGUGUGUAGGUGGCGCGCUAAGUCGGGUGUGAAAUUUCGGAGCUUAACUCCGAAACUGCAUUCGAUACUGGCGUGCUUGAGGACUGGAGAGGAGACUGGAAUUUACGGUGUAGCAGUGAAAUGCGUAGAUAUCGGGAGGAACACCAGUGGCGAAGGCGACUUCCUGGCCUGUUCUUGACGCUGAGGCGCGAAAGCUAGGGGAGCAAACGGG
rnacentral:rRNA from 1 species